GUGGGGAAUAUUGGACAAUGGGCGAAAGCCUGAUCCAGCCAUGCCGCGUGUGUGAAGAAGGUCUUCGGAUUGUAAAGCACUUUAAGUUGGGAGGAAGGGCAGUAAGUUAAUACCUUGCUGUUUUGACGUUACCGACAGAAUAAGCACCGGCUAACUUCGUGCCAGCAGCCGCGGUAAUACGAAGGGUGCAAGCGUUAAUCGGAAUUACUGGGCGUAAAGCGCGCGUAGGUGGUUCAGCAAGUUGGAGGUGAAAUCCCCGGGCUCAACCUGGGAACUGCCUCCAAAACUACUGGGCUAGAGUACGGUAGAGGGUAGUGGAAUUUCCUGUGUAGCGGUGAAAUGCGUAGAUAUAGGAAGGAACACCAGUGGCGAAGGCGACUACCUGGACUGAUACUGACACUGAGGUGCGAAAGCGUGGGGAGCAAACAGGAUUAGAUACCCGUGUAGUCC
rnacentral:rRNA from 1 species